rnacentral:rRNA from 1 species
GACGAACGCUGGCGGCGUGCUUAACACAUGCAAGUCGAGCGGAAAGGCCACUUCGGUGGUACUCGAGCGGCGAACGGGUGAGUAACACGUGAGUAAUCUGCCCCUGGCUUUGGGAUAGCCACCGGAAACGGUGAUUAAUACCGGAUACGACCACUUCUCGCAUGGGAUGGUGGUGGAAAGUUUUUUCGGCCAGGGAUGUGCUCGCGGCCUAUCAGCUUGAUGGUGAGGUAAUGGCUCACCAUGGCUUCGACGGGUAGCCGGCCUGAGAGGGUGAGCGGUCACACUGGGACUGAGACACGGCCCAGACUCCAACGGGAGGCAGCAGUGGGGAAUAUUGGACAAGGGGCGGAAGGCUGAUCCAGGAACGCCGCGUGAGGGAUGACGGCCUUCGGGUUGUAAACCUCUUUCAGCAGGGACGAAGCGCAAGUGACGGUACCUGCAGAAGAAGCACCGGCCAACUACGUGCCAGCCGCCGCCGUAA